GAAUGUGGGACUGGAGCUGGAAUUCAUUCUGCCCCUUCAAGCUGUUCUUCUCCCAGGCUUGUCCCUGCACUGAGGCAUGGUGAGAGCUGCUGCUGCUGAGGAUGGUGCAGUCAGACAGGUUCCUCACAGCUGGAUCCUGUGCAGGUCGAUAUGCUCUGCUGUGAAUGACCCAAACUGGAUUGACUUUUCACUAAAAACUAAAUCACAGAUCUGGUGUAUGGCCAUGCAAACCUUGUUGCAGACUGGAUCCAGGAAGAUCUUUGGGUCUGCUAGCAGCAACUCUUCUGCUUCUGUCCUUGAAGAAUUUUCAUAACUGAAGCAACACAGCUGUCAAGGUAGAAGAAAAUGAACCAACAUGUUUCCUCAGACGCACAGCUACAAGCUUCUUAAACUGAUCUUCACUUCAGCACAAGCCGCAGAAGCUUCACACUCAGCAGAGAAUUCCCAAUGAGGCCUUGGGAACACUCAGCACCUGCCUUCAACAAAUUAAUCCCUCAGGAGAUAAGAAUCCAACAUCUUAGAAGGAAUGAAAACCUUUUACUCCAUCAACUCUCUCCCACAAGGUACAUCUUGCUAUCACAUCCCUACAUCCAGAGCUGCAGAGGAGCUUUCUCAAACCCUAAAACUCUGCAGAGAACACCUGAAAUUUUGCUUGACUCUAACCUCAAGGAGAGGUGCUCCAGCUUUCUGACCAUCCUCAUGGCUCUCGUCUGGACUCCAACAGGUCCCCAUCCUUCGGAUGUUGGAGCAAUCCCACCUCCUUGCUCAUCACGCAGUGUAAGAGGAGCUGAACCUGGUCUGUGGUGUCUGAACCAAAAUAACUCAAAAGAUGCCAAUUAGCAACUGUAUUUCACAUUUAGUUUGGGUAGUGGGUGUUUUCUUUAAGAAACAAAUUACAUCAAAAUAUAAACUGUUUUUCAGCUUUUGUUUGUAUUUUUCCCUCUCCUUCGUGUGUGUGUCUGUGUUUUGGGCAUUCAUUUCCUAUACCCUAGGAGGCAUUAAAAAAGGUUUAUAUUUUCAUUUUGUGGCAGUGAGUCUGAUUACACCAUUCAAGGGAACAUGCAAUGGGCAGUAUUUGUAUGAUUUUGUCAAGACAAAUAUUUAUCUUUCACAGGGGUGUUAUGGCUAAGCAAUUCAUACUUCAUUACA